rnacentral:rRNA from 1 species
UAGGGAAUCUUCCGCAAUGGGCGAAAGCCUGACGGAGCAACGCCGCGUGAGUGAUGAAGGUCUUCGGAUCGUAAAACUCUGUUAUUAGGGAAGAACAAAUGUGUAAGUAACUCUGCACGUCUUGACGGUACCUAAUCAGAAAGCCACGGCUAACUACGUGCCAGCAGCCGCGGUAAUACGUAGGUGGCAAGCGUUAUCCGGAAUUAUUGGGCGUAAAGCGCGCGUAGGCGGUUUUUUAAGUCUGAUGUGAAAGCCCACGGCUCAACCGUGGAGGGUCAUUGGAAACUGGAAAACGUGAGUGCAGAAGAGGAAAGUGGAAUUCCAGGUGUAGCGGUGAAAUGCGCAGAGAUAUGGAGGAACACCAGUGGCGAAGGCGACUUUCUGGUCUGAAACUGACGAUGAUGUGCGAAAGCGUGGGGAUCAAACAGG